UACAGAGGUCUCAAGCGUUGUUCGGAUUCAUUGGGCGUAAAGGGUGCGUAGGCGGCGCGGUAAGUCGGGUGUGAAAUCUCGGAGCUUAACUCCGAAACUGCAUUCGAUACUGCCGUGCUUGAGGACUGGAGAGGAGACUGGAAUUUACGGUGUAGCGGUGAAAUGCGUAGAUAUCGUAAGGAAAGACCAGUGGCGAAGGCGGGUCUCUGGAUAGUUCCUGACGCUGAGGCACGGAAGGUCAGGGGGAGCAAAACGGG
rnacentral:rRNA from 1 species